ACUCCUACGGGAGGCAGCAGUGGGAAUCUUAGACAAUGGGGAAAGCCCUCGAUCUAGCCAUGCCGCGUGAGCGAUGAAGGCCUUAGGGUUGUAAAGCUCUUUCAGCUGGGAAGAUAAUGACGGUACCAGCAGAAGAAGCCCCGGCUAACUCCGUGCCAGCAGCCGCGGUAAUACGGAGGGGCUAGCGUUGUUCGGAAUUACUGGGCGUAAAGCGCACGUAGGCGGAUUGGUAAGUUGGGGGUG
rnacentral:rRNA from 1 species